AACGAACGCUGGCGGCAUGCCUAACACAUGCAAGCCGAACGAGAUCUUCGGGUCUAGUGGCGCACGGGUGCGUAACGCGUGGGAAUCUGCCCUUUGGUUCGGAAUAACAGUUGGAAACGACUGCUAAUACCGGAUGAUGACGAAAGUCCAAAGAUUUAUCGCCAGGGGAUGAGCCCGCGUAGGAUUAGCUAGUUGGUGUGGUAAAGGCGCACCAAGGCGACGAUCCUUAGCUGGUCUGAGAGGAUGAUCAGCCACACUGGGACUGAGACACGGCCCAGACUACUACGGGAGGCAGCAGUGGGGAAUAUUGGAAAAUGGGCGAAAGCCUGAUCCAGCAAUGCCGCGUGAGUGAUGAAGGCCUUAGGGUUGUAAAGCUCUUUUACCCGGGAUGAUAAUGACAGUACCGGGAGAAUAAGCUCCGGCUAACUCCGUGCCAGCCGCCGCAGUAA
rnacentral:rRNA from 1 species